GAAACAUAUGAUGUUGGGCUCAGCAAUAAUAACAACUACCUUUUGUUAAAUCGGCAACAUACACACGCACUUGUUAUAAACGAGAAUCGACAAACAGAUACACACAAACAUACACACAUAGGCAGACGUUAUAAGUGGAACGUUGAUUCCGCAUUUACUAUAAUAUAAUAUGCACAUACAUAUGUAUAUAGCUGGCAAUAUUGCGGUGCUUUUUGACCAAGCGAAAAAUCAUAGGCCAAACAGUUGAUAUCGGAACUUGACAGCAUUUGGUUGUGUGAAGCGCGUGCUUGAAACGUUUGUUGUACGAACGACAACAACUUAACGUUUUUCCAUACCUACGUGCAAUCGUUUGUACGAGUACGUGCAUACUUAUACUUACGCUACGAAAUGAGUGCGGGCAUAUUACAAAUUCACAAAUGAAACUAAAAUAAACUCUCGAAACGACAAGUGAAUGCGCGCGCGAUUCCUCUCUCAAAUUUUCUUACUUUCCGCCGAUGAGUGGUUAGUUUUUGUUUUAUUUUUUUUCGUUUUGGUUAGUACGCAGUGUUGUGCUACAAAUACAAACUCGGUGAAUUCUGCUAAAACAACGAAAAAUAUAUAUUUUAAUUUGGUGAAUUUUUAGGUUGUUCGGCGGUGGAAAAAAGUGAAAGAAUUGUGUGUGAAAAAGUGGAAAUUGGCACAUUUAUUAGUUGACAACAAAGAAAUGUGAUGGAGCAAAGUUUAAUUUCAAAGACGCGUCUAAGAUAAGAAAUCAACGCCUUGCAAUUAUCAUAAGAUUUGGGUCGAAAUGCAGAAAAGAAGAAUAAGAAGAGGAAGAUAAUUGAACAAAAGUCAAAGAUGAA
rnacentral:lncRNA from 1 species